rnacentral:lncRNA from 1 species
GGCCAUGUGAGGACACAGAGAAAGCACCAUCUGUGAGAAACAGGGCCUCCACUAUAUACUGAACUUGCCACCACCUUGACCUGGGACUUCCCAGUUUCCAGAACUGUGAGAAAUAAAUUUUUUAUGAUUUACCCAGUCUAAGAUAUUUUGUGACAGCAGCAGGAAUGGACUAACAUACUGGGUCUAGCAAAGAGUUCUCAAGAGAUGGGGCCUGGAUGUGUUGCUUAGGCUGUGUGAAACACCUGGUCUUAAGCGAUCCUCUCACCCUGGCCUCCCAAAGCAUUGGGAUUACAGGGAGAAAAGAAUGGGAACUGUGAGGAAAAGAAUGACAUGAACAAUGGGAAGACCAAGGUCCCAGCACAAGUAGUAGAUGCUGAGGAAAGAAGAAGUAUGUUGUGGAGUAAGUGAGUGGGCCUGAGUUGAGAAGAUCCUGGCCUUGGAUUUUAAAACUGUCAGGUGACUAUGGUUGUGCUGGUCUCUGCUUUUCAUUAUGGAUAUAUGUGAGCUUUAUUUUCUAUUAAGGUAAGUGGCUCCAGUCAACACUGUGCCAGGGUUUCUUAAUUUUCAAAGGUGAACAAAUGAGAUUCUGGACAUUAAAUCUCAACAUCUUAAGGUAAUGGUUCACAGAAAUUAAUUUGGGAGGAAUCAUAGACCAAAAAGCUAGGGCUGGGCGCAGUGGCUCACGCCUGUAAUCCCAGCACUUUGGGAAGCUGAGGCGGGUGGAUCACUUGAGGUCAGGAGUUCGAGACCAGCCUGGCUAACAUGGUGAAACCCUAUCUUUACUAAAAAUAUGAAAAUUAGCCAGGUAUGGUGGCAGGCGCCUCCCAUCCCAGCUACUCGAGAGGUGGAGACAGGGGAAUUGCUUGAACCCGGGAGGUGGAGGUUGCAGUGAACCGAGAUUGCACCAUUGUACUCCAGCCUGGGUGACACGAGUGGGACUCCAUCUCAAAAAACAAAACAAAACAAACCCAGAAAGGUAAAAGCUAAACCUACAGAGCUUCUGGGAAAAAACAUUAGAGUGCAUCUUCAUAAUCAUGGCACAAAGAUUUCUUAAAUGGGAUUAAUAAAGAGAAACCAUAAAAAAUUAUAAAUUGAAUUUUAUAAAAAUGAAAAUUCUAUUUAUGAAAGACAUCAUUAAGAAAAUGGGGAUAAGACAUAUAGAGAAAUAUAUUAAAAAUACAUAUAUCUGGCAAAUAACUUGUGUUGAUAUUUUAAAAAUUCCAAAUCUCAAUAAUAAAAGACAAACCUAAUUUAAAAUAGGGAAAAAAACUGAAAGAGAUACUUCACAAGAGAAAUUUAUGAAUGGCCAAUAAACUCAUGGAAAGGUAGUCAAUAUCAUUAAUAUUCAAGGAAAUGUAUUUUCCUGAAGACUGCAAUGAGAUAGCACUUAACCCCAAGAAAGGCUGAAAUUAAAAGGGCUGACAGUACUGUUGACAGAGUCAUGGAGCAACUGGAACUCAUAUAUGCUGGUUGGGGAAUAAAAUGGUACAAACACUUGGGGCAAUAGUUUGGCAGUUUCUUAUAACAUUAAACAUAUAUUUACAAUAUGACCCAGAGAUUCUUUUCCUACGUACUUAUAUUAGAGCAAUGAAAACAUAUACUCAUAAAAAAUUUAUCCAAGAAUGCUCAUUACAAUUUUGUUCAUGAUAACCCCAAACAGAAAAAAAUCCAAAUAUCAAUCAACUGGUGAAUAAUUAAACAAUGUGUGGUGUGAUCAUACAAAGGGUACCACUCAAUGAUAAAAGGAACAAGCUGCCUAUAUGUGGAACAACAUGGAUGCAUUUCAGAAACUUUAUGUUGAGUGAAAGAAUAAACACGGAGAACAUACUAUGUGGUUCUCUUUAUGUAACAUUACAGAAAUAAAAACAGAGGCAACCACCUUUGAGGCAGUAUGGAGUGAGAUAGACUGGAAAAAGGAAGGAAGGAAACUCUACGUUGAUGGAAAUGUCUGUGUCUUCAUUGGGUGGUAGUUAUGUGGGGAUAUACAUUUGUCAAAAUUUAUUG